CCUUGAUGUGUAGGAUAGGUGGGAGGCUUGGAAGUGUGGACGCCAGUCUGCAUGGAGCCGACCUUGAAAUACCACCCUUUAAUGUUUGAUGUUCUAACGUUGACCCGUAAUCCGGGUUGCGGACAGUGUCUGGUGGGUAGUUUGACUGGGGCGGUCUCCUCCUAAAGAGUAACGGAGGAGCACGAAGGUUGGCUAAUCCUGGUCGGACAUCAGGAGGUUAGUGCAAUGGCAUAAGCCAGCUUGACUGCGAGCGUGACGGCGCGAGCAGGUGCGAAAGCAGGUCAUAGUGAUCCGGUGGUUCUGAAUGGAAGGGCCAUCGCUCAACGGAUAAAAGGUACUCCGGGGAUAACAGGCUGAUACCGCCCAAGAGUUCAUAUCGACGGCGGUGUUUGGCACCUCGAUGUCGGCUCAUCACAUCCUGGGGCUGAAGUAGGUCCCAAGGGUAUGGCUGUUCGCCAUUUAAAGUGGUACGCGAGCUGGGUUUAGAACGUCGUGAGACAGUUCGGUCCCUAUCUGCCGUGGGCGCUGGAGAACUGAGGGGGGCUGCUCCUAGUACGAGAGGACCGGAGUGGACGCAUCACUGGUGUUCGGGUUGUCAUGCCAAUGGCACUGCCCGGUAGCUAAAUGCGGAAGAGAUAAGUGCUGAAAGCAUCUAAGCACGAAACUUGCCCCGAGAUGAGUUCUCCCUGACUCCUUGAGAGUCCUGAAGGAACGUUGAAGACGACGACGUUGAUAGGCCGGGUGUGUAAGCGCAGCGAUGCGUUGAGCUAACCGGUACUAAUG
rnacentral:rRNA from 1 species